GCUGACGAGUCCCAAAUAGGAUGAAACACGCGUCC
rnacentral:hammerhead_ribozyme from 1 species